rnacentral:rRNA from 1 species
GACGAACGCUGGCGGCGUGCUUAACACAUGCAAGUCGAGCGGAGCGGCGAACGGGUGAGUAACGCGUGAGUAACUGCCCCCCCCUCUGGGAUAACAGUUGGAAACGGCUGCUAAUACCGGUUAGUGGGGGAUGACUCGCGUUCUAUCAGCUUGUUGGUGGGGUAGUGGCCUACCAAGGCGACGACGGGUAGCCGGCCUGGGCGGGCGACCGGCCACAUUGGGCUGAGGUGCGGGCCAGACUCCUACGGGGGGCAGCGGUGGGGAAUAGUGCGCGAUGGGGGAAACCCUGAUGGAGCAGCGCCGCGUGCGGGAUGACGGCCGUCGGGUUGUAAACCGCUUUCAGCCAUGACGCGGUAGUGGCAGAAGAAGCACCGGCUAACUACGUGCCAGCCGCCGCGGUAAUUC